rnacentral:lncRNA from 1 species
CCGCCACCGGUUUCAUCCCCCUCUCUCACUCACCGAUUGAACGGCGGCACAUUGCCUAUCGGCAAAAUCACUCCCCGCGGCACUCCCCGAUUUACGCCCCGUAUACCCUUAGCAUGUUAUUUGACUUUCCAUUUACAUCUGAGUCAUUAAGUAUGCAGCCAUGGCGGAUUUGUCCUCUUUGUUUGAAGAUGAGUGCUAUGCGUGUCAACCAAUGAAUUCAUGAACUGGUUGCAUUCUUGGACUUAACAACAUCUAUGUACAUGCCAAUCGGUUUCUCUAUGCAUUACUUUCAUAAUGGAACUAAUAAGAUGAUAGGAAAAUUGUUGUGAAGAAGCUUUCAGAGACAUCAAAAUAAGGGAAUAGAGAAUUUACAAACUGCAGGCUGAGGCGGCGUCUUCGUCUUCCACCGAAAUGGCAGUGGUGAAGGAAUCUGGUGGAUGUGAGUCGUAAGAACAAAGAACAGGAGGUUUGAUGAGGAGGUUCGAUCAUCCGAUCCAUAGUUCCCAUAGUCUUGGUACUAAGAAGAAUAUAGAAUGGCAAGAUAAGUUGGCUGUUGUAUAUUGAAGUUGCGACAAAGCUGCUCGAGGACAAUGUUGGGGCGCAAGUAAUGAAGUUGGCUGUUGUAUAUUGAGGUUGCGACAAAGCUGCUCGAGGACAAUGUUGCAGCGCCGGAAGACCCAUUGUUUUCAUGUUAAGAAAGACUUUCUUGUGAAUUGACACAUGUAGAGGUUGACUCUAAAGAGUAUUAAAUGGUUGCGUUCUAUGCUAUGGAAGUAUAAUCAAUUCGGUCAUAACUUGCAAAUCUAUAGGAACGAGAAGCUCACCUGAAAGCUCGCCGAAACUAAGGGACAUGCCUA